UACGGAGGGUGCAAGCGUUAUCCGGAAUCACUGGGUUUAAAGGGUGCGUAGGCGGCCAUGUAAGUCAGUUGUGAAAUACCCCGGCUUAACCGGUGGAAGGGCGAUUGAUACUGCGUGGCUUGAAUCAGGUUGAGGCAGGCGGAAUGUGGCAUGUAGCGGUGAAAUGCUUAGAUAUGCCAUAGAACACCGAUUGCGAAGGCAGCUUGCUGGGCUUCGAUUGACGCUGAGGCACGAAAGCGUGGGGAGCAAACAGG
rnacentral:rRNA from 1 species